rnacentral:rRNA from 1 species
AUUGAACGCUGGCGGCAUGCCUAACACAUGCAAGUCGAACGGUAACACGUUUUCGGAUUCUGAUGAGUGGCGAACGGGCGAGUAAUACAUCGGAACGUGCCCGACCCUGGUGUUUAGCGGAGCGUAAGCUAUGCUAAUACCGCAUCCGAUCUACGCAUGAAAGCAGGGGACCGCAAGGCAUAGUGUGGACGGAGGGGCCGAUGGUCGCUGAGGUAGUUGUUGGGAUAAAAGCUUACCAAGCCGACGAGCUGUACCUGGUCUGAGCGGACGAGCAGCCACACUGGGACUGGAACACGGACCAGACUCCUACGGGAGGCAGCAGUGGGGAAAUUUGGACAAUGGGCGAAAGCCUGAUCCAGCCAUGCCGCGUGCAGGGUAAAGGCCUUCGGGUUGUAAACUGCUUUUGUACGGAACGAAAAGCCUCUUUCUAAUAAAGAGGGUGCGUGACGGUACCGUAAGAAUAAGCACCGGCUAACUACGUG